GUGCCAGCCGCCGCGGUAAUACGUAGGGUGCGAGCGUUGUCCGGAAUUACUGGGCGUAAAGAGCUCGUAGGUGGUUUGUCGCGUUGUUCGUGAAAUCUCACGGCUUAACUGUGAGCGUGCGGGCGAUACGGGCAGACUAGAGUACUGCAGGGGAGACUGGAAUUCCUGGUGUAGCGGUGGAAUGCGCAGAUAUCAGGAGGAACACCGGUGGCGAAGGCGGGUCUCUGGGCAGUAACUGACGCUGAGGAGCGAAAGCUUGGGGAGCGAACAGGAUUAGAUACCCUGGUAGUCCACGCCGUAAACGGUGGGUACUAGGUGUGGGUUUCCUUCCUUGGGAUCCGUGCCGUAGCUAACGCAUUAAGUACCCCGCCUGGGGAGUACGGCCGCAAGGCUAAAACUCAAAGGAAUUGACGGGGGCCCGCACAAGCGGCGGAGCAUGUGGAUUAAUUCGAUGCAACGCGAAGAACCUUACCUGGGUUUGACAUGCACAGGACGCGUCUAGAGAUAGGCGUUCCCUUGUGGCCUGUGUGCAGGUGGUGCGUGGCUGUCGUCAGCUCGUGUCGUGAGAUGUUGGGUUAAGUCCCGCAACGAGCGCAACCCUUGUCUCAUGUUGCCAGCGGGUAAUGCCGGGGACUCGUGAGAGACUGCCGGGGUCAACUCGGAGGAAGGUGGGGAUGACGUCAAGUCAUCAUGCCCCUUAUGUCCAGGGCUUCACACAUGCUACAAUGGCCGGUACAAAGGGCUGCGAUGCCGUAAGGUUAAGCGAAUCCUCUUAAAGCCGGUCUCAGUUCGGAUUGGGGUCUGCAACUCGACCCCAUGAAGUCGGAGUCGCUAGUAAUCGCAGAUCAGCAACGCUGCGGUGAAUACGUUCCCGGGCCUUGCACACACCGCCCGUC
rnacentral:rRNA from 1 species